GAGUUUGAUUAUGGCUCAGGAUGAACGCUAGCGAUAGGCUUAACACAUGCAAGUCGAGGGGCAGCAUGGUCUUAGCUUGCUAAGACUGAUGGCGACCGGCGCACGGGUGCGUAACGCGUAUGUAACUUGCCUGGUAGAAAGGGAUAACCCGGUGAAGGUCGGACUAAUACCUUAUGGUCUUGGGUUAUUGCAUGAUGAUUCAAGUAAAGAUUAAUUGCUAUCAGAUAGGCAUGCGUUCCAUUAGUUAGUUGGUGAGGUAACGGCUCACCAAGGCGACGAUGGAUAGGGGAACUGAGAGGUUUAUCCCCCACACUGGUACUGAGACACGGACCAGACUCCUACGGGAGGCAGCAGUGAGGAAUAUUGGUCAAUGGGCGAGAGCCUGAACCAGCCACGUUGCGUGAAGGAAGACGGUUCUAUGGAUUGUAAACUUCUUUUAUAGG
rnacentral:rRNA from 1 species